AUUAACGCUGGCGGCGUGCAUUAUGCAUGCAAGUCGAACGGUCUUGAUUUAUCAAGACAGUGGCAGACGGGUGCGUAACGCGUAAGUAACCUGCCCCUAAGUGGGAAAUAGCUCGGAGAAAUCUGAGGUAAUACCGCAUGUGGUUCUUCACCGCCGGGUGAAGAAUUAAAGUCCUUCGUAAGAAGGGCGCUUGGGGAGGGGCUUGCGUCCGAUUAGCUAGUUGGUGAGGUAAAGGCCCACCAAGGCGACGAUCGGUAGCUGAUCUGAGAGGAUGACCAGCCACACUGGGACUGAGACACGGCCCAGACUCCUACGGGAGGCAGCAGCAAGGAAUAUUGUGCAAUGGGCGAAAGCCUGACACAGCGACGCCGCGUGAGGGAUGAAGACCUUCGGGUUGUAAACCUCUUUUAUCAGGGAAGAAUAAUGACGGUACCUGGUGAAUAAGUCUCGGCUAACUACGU
rnacentral:rRNA from 1 species